AACGCUAGCUACAGGCUUAACACAUGCAAGUCGAGGGGCAGCAUGAACUUAGCUUGCUAAGUUUGAUGGCGACCGGCGCACGGGUGAGUAACGCGUAUCCAACCUUCCGUACACUCAGGAAUAGCCUUUCGAAAGAAAGAUUAAUACCUGAUGGUAUGAUGAGAUUGCAUGAAAUCAUCAUUAAAGAUUCAUCGGUGUACGAUGGGGAUGCGUUCCAUUAGAUAGUAGGCGGGGUAACGGCCACCUAGUCGACGAUGGAUAGGGGUUCUGAGAGGAAGGUCCCCCACAUUGGAACUGAGACACGGUCCAAACUCCUACGGGAGGCAGCAGUGAGGAAUAUUGGUCAAUGGGCGCGAGCCUGAACCAGCCAAGUAGCGUGAAGGAUGAAGGUCCUACGGAUUGUAAACUUCUUUUAUAAGGGAAUAAAGUCACCCACGUGUGGGUGUUUGUAUGUACCUUAUGAAUAAGCAUCGGCUAACUCCGUGCCAGCAGCCGCGGUAAUACGGAGGAUGCGAGCGUUAUCCGGAUUUAUUGGGUUUAAAGGGAGCGUAGACGGGUCGUUAAGUCAGCUGUGAAAGUUUGAGGCUCAACCUUAAAAUUGCAGUUGAUACUGGCGUCCUUGAGUACGGUUGAGGCAGGCGGAAUUCGUGGUGUAGCGGUGAAAUGCUUAGAUAUCACGAAGAACUCCGAUUG
rnacentral:rRNA from 1 species